UGGGGAAUAUUGCACAAUGGGCGCAAGCCAGAUGCAGCGACGCCGCGUGAGGGAUGACGGCCUUCGGGUUGUAAACCUCUUUCAGUAGGGAAGAAGCGAAAGUGACGGUACCUGCAGAAGAAGCGCCGGCUAACUACGUG
rnacentral:rRNA from 1 species